GCGAGAAACAGAGGCACUACAGCCCUAGCUGCAGCUGCUGCCUCUCUCUCUCUCCUCUCCAUCUUCCCUCUCUUCUUCUUCUUCUUCUUCUUUUCUUCUCUUCUCCCUCUUCUUCAUCCUCUUCUUUUCCCUCUUCUUCUCUUCUCCCUCUACUUCUCUUCUUCUUCUCCCCACGCCCCACCGCUUCUCUCUAUUUCUCGAAGAAACAGAGAGAGCAUGGGAGGCGGUGGGAUAAAACCGAAAUUUUCGGUUUUCUUUAUUUUUUUUCUUUUUGCAACUUAACAGUUUAGUCCUUGAAAUUUCUAUAUUUACAUGUAGGUCCUCCAAUUUACAUAUAAAUCUUUAUUAAUAAUUUUCAAAAGUGAGGGAUAUUACACUCUCCCCUCCUUAAAAGAAAAUUUAGUCCUCUAAAUUGAUCAUAGCUCAAUCGAUGAAAAGAUGAGGAUUAUGUUAUCCUUAUUUCCUCCUUCGAUCAACCCGACCUUCGAUCAAUUUCUAAAAAUACUUGCGCACCCUGCAGUUAAUCAAGUAAGUCGUUACUUUAGAAAAUACUCGUUUCUUAUGGUCACUUGAUUCAACUGUCCAUAAUCAAUACAAAGCCUUAAUGUUCCAUCCAUCUUUUUAAUAAACCCCGGAGCACCCCAUGAUGAAAUAUUAAGCCAAAUAAAAUCCUUAUUUAAUAGUCCUUAUAGUUGCUUUUCCAAUUCCACUUACUCAAAUGAUGUCAUUAUGUAGAGAGGCUUAGUUAUUGGGAUUAUCCCAAAGACCAAAUCAAAAGCAAAGUCACAUUUGGAGGUAAUCCAAGCAAGUCAUCCUGGGAUACAUUAGGCAAGGAGAUAAAUCAUGUCCAAUACUCUCAAAAUAAAAGAUCGGCUGAUCAAAUAUGCAAAAAGUGAUCAUUUGUUAUAUACCAAUCCAUACUGGUAUGAUAGGAAGAUAGCCAAUCCAUACCAAGUAUAAUAUCAUAACUCCAAAUCUCUAGGAGAACUAAAUCAGCAAAAGUUCAAGUUCUCCAAUAAAAAUCAGACAAGAGGACCAGAUUCAAGUUCGUUAUCAAAUAAUCUCCAAUGAUUGUAUUUACAUAUAUCACAUAAUACAAUGGUCUAGGUUGAAUACCCAAGUGAUAAGCAAAAUAUUACGAAUCAAAUCGUAGAUAGGACCCAUGGUCAAACAAAUAUUUACAUUCUUUCAUAAACAUGCAUAAUACCUUCGAUCACUAAUUCAAAAGUUUUAGAAUCAUAUUCAGUAAUAGCAUACACUCUGACAUGGGUUGAUGGUUUAUGAGGCAGUGACUCUUUCUUCUUGUUCAAAGGGCAGUCUUUUAUUUCAUGAUCCAACUUUCUACAAGCAAAAUAGACUCCAAUCACCCGAAACACAAAUUUGUUUCAUAAUUUAACUUAUAAUUCACACAUGAUUGAGUCUUUUGUGGUGACUUCCCAUUUCAAAUCCAAAUGUCUUGACCCUCUUGUUAUUACUUCCUGAUUCAUUUCCAAUCAUAUUUUUAUUGCUAAACUUAUCCUUAUCAUUCUUGCCACAUAUCUCAAAAAAUUCUUUUCAUUGUUGCCAAUAAUAAUCAGCCUCUAUUUCCAAUAUAAGGUAGCAAAAGAAAUCUUUUGAUCAUUAGAACAAUUUUGUAUAUCAAAUAUCUUCUCCAUUUGCAUCAUCCAUUUUUCUACCACCAAUGAAAUUAGGUUCAUCAUGCUUCUACUGCGCCACUCUGAUUCUAUAUCCCCGAUUACCCCAUUCAUCCCACUUAAUUAAUCAAAAUCAGAUGAAAUAGGAGGACCAAAUAUCCUCAUCAUCCUUGAUUCCUAAAAUUCAUCAAAGAAAAUUUCCACUAAUCACUAUAGUUCACUAGACCUCAAUAUUUUUUUGCACGUCAACAUAUCAAAUAUUUCAGUGAUCCUCAAACUAUGCUCUGAUACCACCUCUGUCACGCCCCCUCAAAAAUUAUCCAUGAUAUUAAAACAAUUUCAUCACAAACCAAUCCAGGAUCCAAACUAACAUUUGAGGACACUGAAAACAUUCUAUCAAAUUCACAUCUAUAAAACCUGUGCAGUUUAUAAUCAUAUAUCACAUCACUUGAUAAUUCACAUUUAUGGCAACCCAAGCCAACUUGACAAACAUGAACAACAUUUAUAAAUCCACAAGCUAAAUAAAUUAUACAAUCAGAACUCCAACUAUUCACCACAAGUUCAUAUCGUCAUAAAUUAGACUUAACAUUCCGAAAUUCCAAAUAAGAGAGAUCUUCUAACACUUUUAUACAGUAUAUCCAUUUCGAUUCAUCAACAACAUUUCAUU
rnacentral:lncRNA from 1 species